rnacentral:rRNA from 1 species
CCUACGGGUGGCAGCAGUGAGGAAUAUUGGUCAAUGGGCGAGAGCCUGAACCAGCCAAGCCGCGUGAGGGAAGACGGUCCUAUGGGUUGUAAACCUCUUUUGUCGGGGAACAAAAGCCGCGACGCGUCCCGUUCCGAGAGUACCCGAAGAAAAAGCAUCGGCUAACUCCGUGCCAGCAGCCGCGGUAAUACGGAGGAUGCGAGCGUUAUCCGGAUUUAUUGGGUUUAAAGGGUGCGCAGGCGGUAGGUUAAGUCAGCGGUAAAAUUGAGAGGCUCAACCUCGUCGAGCCGUUGAAACUGGUAUUCUUGAGUGAGUGAGAAGUAUGCGGAAGGCGUGGUGUAGCGGUGAAAUGCAUAGAUAUCGCGCAGAACUCCGAUUGCGAAGGCAGCAUACCGGCGCUCAACUGACGCUCAGGCACGAAAGUGUGGGUAUCGAACAGGAUUAGAUACCCGAGUAGUC